CCUUGUCACUUCUUCAUCUCGUCUAUACAAGAGUACUGGACGGAGAACUGAUAAGGGC
rnacentral:pre_miRNA from 2 species